GGCUGGCCAAAUUCGUCCGCCGGACUCGGAAUGGCGUGAGACUUUGCGAGGCACCUCCGUGUGCCAAAAAUAGGCCGCGGGCACAGCCGUGCCUAAAAAUAACCCCCCGAAGGCCGGGGAGCCAAGUUCGUCCAGCGGAAAAAGGCCACAAAAACGGGUGGGCUAUAGCCUUCGGGAGUGGGGCUGGCCCACUUCGUCCGCCGGACUCGAAAUGGCGCGAGACUUUGCGAGGUGCCUCCGUGUGCCAAAAAUAGGCCGCGGGCGCGGCCGCGCCCAAAAAUAACACCCCGAAGACCGGGGCGCCAAGUUCGUCCAGCAGAAAAAGGCCACAAAAACGGGUGGGCUAUAGCCUUGGGGGGUGGGGC
rnacentral:lncRNA from 1 species